rnacentral:rRNA from 1 species
CAGUCGCCGCGGUAAUACAGAGGGUGCGAGCGUUAAUCGGAUUUACUGGGCGUAAAGCGUGCGUAGGCGGCUUCUUAAGUCGGAUGUGAAAUCCCUGAGCUUAACUUAGGAAUUGCAUUCGAUACUGGGAAGCUAGAGUAUGGGAGAGGAUGGUAGAAUUCCAGGUGUAGCGGUGAAAUGCGUAGAGAUCUGGAGGAAUACCGAUGGCGAAGGCAGCCAUCUGGCCUAAUACUGACGCUGUGGUACGAAAGCAUGGGGAGCAAACAGGAUUAGAUACCCCGGUAGUCCCUGUCUCUUAUAC